rnacentral:rRNA from 1 species
AACGAACGCUGGCGGCAGGCCUAACACAUGCAAGUCAAACGGCUCUUCGGAGCAGUGGCGCACGGGUGCGUAACGCGCGGGAAUAUACCCUUAGGUAAGGAAUAACUAUUGGAAACGAUAGCUAAUACCUUAUAAUAUCUUCGGAUCAAAGAUUCAUCGCCUAAGGAUUAGCCCGCGCCUGAUUAGAUUGUUGGUGAGGUAAUGGCUCACCAAGUCUACGAUCAGUAGCUGAUCUGAGAGGAUGAUCAGCCACACUGGAACUGAGACACGGUCCAG